UGGGGAAUAUUGCACAAUGGGCGAAAGCCUGAUGCAGCAACGCCGCGUGAGGGACGACGGCCUUCGGGUUGUAAACCUCUUUUAGCAAGGAAGAAGCGAAAGUGACGGUACUUGCAGAAAAAGCGCCGGCUAACUACGUGCCAGCAGCCGCGGUAAUACGUAGGGCGCAAGCGUUAUCCGGAAUUAUUGGGCGUAAAGAGCUCGUAGGCGGUUUGUCGCGUCUGCUGUGAAAACCUGAGGCUCAACCUCGGGCCUGCAGUGGGUACGGGCAGACUAGAGUGCGGUAGGGGAGAUUGGAACUCCUGGUGUAGCGGUGGAAUGCGCAGAUAUCAGGAAGAACACCGAUGGCGAAGGCAGAUCUCUGGGCCGUAACUGACGCUGAGGAGCGAAAGGGCGGGGAGCAAACAGGCUUAGAUACCCUGGUAGUCCACCCCGUAAACGUUGGGAACUAGUUGUGGGUCCAUUCCACGGAUUCCGUGACGCAGCUAACGCAUUAAGUUCCCCGCCUGGGGAGUACGGCCGCAAGGCUAAAACUUGAAAUGAAUUGACGGGGUCAUAGCUGUUUCCU
rnacentral:rRNA from 1 species